AACGAACGCUGGCGGCAUGCCUAACACAUGCAAGUCGAACGAGACCUUCGGGUCUAGUGGCGCACGGGUGCGUAACGCGUGGGAACCUGCCCUUAGGUUCGGAAUAACUCCCCGAAAGGGGUGCUAAUACCGGAUAAUGUCUUCGGACCAAAGAUUUAUCGCCUUUGGAUGGGCCCGCGUUGGAUUAGCUAGUUGGUAGGGUAAAAGCCUACCAAGGCGACGCUACAUAGCUGGUCUGAGAGCAUGAUCAGCCACCCUGGGAGUGAGACCCGGCGCAGACUCCUACGGGAGGCAGCAGUGCGGAAUAUUGGACAAUGGGCGAGAGCCUGAUCCAGCAAUGCCGCGUGAGUGAUGAAGGCCUUAGGGUUGUAAAGCUCUUUUACCCGGGAUGAUAAUGACAGUACCGGGAGAAUAAGCUCCGGCUAACUCCGUG
rnacentral:rRNA from 1 species